rnacentral:lncRNA from 1 species
GCCCCCAGAGGUGAUUCUGCCUGCAUGACGUCCUCCGUUCCGGAGGCGAGCUCGCCGCAUGCGCCACAUCAGGAUCAAAAAUAGAAAGAAAAAAAAAGAAGAAAAGAAGAAGCGGAAGAAGCUGCGGAGGCGGCGGAGGCGGCAAGGAGGAGGGGCCUCGCGCAGCGAUGGAGGAGGCAGCGGGGACGUGGGGACGCGACUUUGUGUAGGCGGGUCGUGGGGCGCCCAUGGCGGAGUGUGGCCCGGGCGCCACAGGUGGGGCCCUGCCCACCUCCCCCGGCCGGGCCCUCAGCGCCAAUGGCGCCCUGAUAGCGGGAGCCCGAGAAGGCGCGGUAGCGCCAAGGGCGGUCGCCUUAGCCAAGGUCUGGCGCGCUAUGACAGCGGCGGGGUUUCCCACAGAGACUACAGACUCGCAGUGUCGGGGGACAAAAGUCCGGGCCAGCCCUGCCAGGGAACCUCGAGGCAUGGUGCUCUGGCCGACCCCUAGCCGGGUCGCUGGUCUGGUCCCCAGGGACAGCAAGCUGAGCGGCCUGUGAGCAGCAGCAGCGUCAAGGUUUCGGUAGGAAGGCAUCAUCCUGAAAUGAUAUCAGUAAGCAAGAGAAGCGUCUAAAGAAAUUGGAAGAACUAAAAUUUGAAACCCAGAAGUGUAAAUUCCAGAGGGAUGUACUUUCUCAAAUCCUGGACCUUUAUAUCUAUGAUGAUUGGGACUAUAGGCUGGAUGUUGAAUUGCCUAUACUUCAAUCUGAACGUGGGAUGAGAAUGAUGGCUGUGCAUUAAAUGAACAACUCAAUAUGUGACGCCAUGGAGAAGUACAAGGAGCUCAUACAAGAGAACAAUUCCUACACAUCAGGCACUUCCAGCUCCUGCGUGAACGGACUCCAUAGAAGAACAAUAUAAAGAUUUUGCUGUAUGAGAACAAAAAACUGAUGGUGGAGCAGACUGUUCUGCCAGCAUCCUGUGUGGAGGCAAAGAGGUUCUGUGAAGAGGCCGGAAUGAACAUCUGUGUCCCCAGAGCCAAGCAGUUGCAGGUCCAGCAAGUAUCUGCAUAGCAAGAUUUCCUGAAGUGGAAAUGAGUACAGGCCAGGGCAGCACAGCCUGCUUGACUGUAAGAGACUUGUACAUAACAUAGCUCCCACUAAUUCUUCAUUCAACAGAAAACCUGCUGGAUAAAAGGUAUGUUUUCCUUAGUGUGUGUGUGUUUGUGUGUGUGUGUGUGUGUGUGUGUGUGUGUGUGUGUGUGUGUGUAUGUGUGUGUGUGCAUGUGUGUGUAUUUGUGUUUUAGUUUGUGCAAAAAUAUAACUGUGUUGCCUAUUUCCAAGUUUACUGAGAAAACCACUCUGAGAGUUCACUUUGCGUCAUGAAACAUCAAAUACAGCAGCCCAAUCAUUUUGGCCUCUCCUCCUAGCUCUGUACAGCAAAAGGACACAAAAGCACUUGUAAAGUUCAAUUUUAACGGUAUUAGGGGCAAACCUACCAAUCUGCAUUGAAAUCCUUUGGAGCACAUUAAAGGAAUGGAGUACAUGGAGGUAAGGGGGAGGCUUCUCUAUAAAAUCCAUGAGUUUAUAUUCCUUCUUUGUCCUUUGUGAAUUGUGAAAGCCCACUGAAAGGUUAUGUCACUCACUGUGUCUUCUCCAAGCUUGUUUUACACAUUGCCUGCUCCCAUUUCUUUCCAGCUACCUUGGCACAGUACAACUUCACCUUGGAGUCUGGCUUGGAUUGUAUUCACUGAGAAAUUGAGUUGCAUGGAGUUGUAUUGGCAUCCAGCAGAAGCCCCAUAGCUGUGCUGUGGUUCAAGAACAGGGCAGGUUCAGGAGCGGCUUUAGAUGCACAAAUAACCUAAAGCAUCCCCUGUGUUAUCUGUGUAGCAUUCUGCAAGGGCUGUUAGUCAACAUCAUUUUCUCUGAGUUAAAGUCAGCCUCAGUGGGGGAUAGGAGGAAUGAGGAUCUUAAGACAGGUCUGGUAGUGUAAGAACAGGUAGGCCUAUGAGAAGCCAUGUACAGAAAUUGGAACAGAAGUUUUAGUUGACCCAAAGAUUACAGAACAAGGAGUAGGUGUCAACAGAGCAACUAGGGCUCAUCAGUGCUGUGGUAGUCCCCGAGCAGCCCUGAAGGAGAAUCUGUCCAGACGUCCAUCAGCUAAGGGAGUGAAAAUGUACUAUACGGUGGGGCCAUUCCAUGCAUUAUGACUCAGUGUAAGAUAAUCCAUGCAAGCAUUUACUUACUUACUCAAAAUAUCUGUGACACAAUCACAUUAUGGGGAGAAAAACUGUUCAUUUGUAUCCUGGGUAUGGAGAUUUCCUAUGAUUCUGUUCCAAUAGCCUUGGGCACGAAGUCAUUCAAGUUAAGGUAAAGAGAGCUGCUAUUAGAAGAAGCUGCACACUUUGGGGGCAAGCCUGAAACAGUGGCCAAGAACAGAGUCUAAUCCACCACCAACAUAUGAUCCUUUGCUGGGAAACAAGCCUGCUCUACACAGCCUUGGGAACGAGCUAAGCCAGAUUGGGGAAUAAGGCAAGGACCAUGAUUCUAUGUUGGUUUAUGGGAGGACAGCACAACACUGACUGAGUUGUUUAUAGGCUAUAGGCUAUGCCUGCUAUGUACAUAUCCCACUCAACAUUUGUUUUUAUGCCUUCAGAGAAUCCUGGGGGGUCUUUAUAUUAAGGAUUACCUCAGAAAGUAAACACUUGACUGCAAUGUACUAUGCUUAUAUUGUGUGAACACACAUGUGUUCUGUGUUUGGGAGUGUGUAUUAGUGUUUCUGUGUGUCUGUGUGUGUUUGUAUGUGCACACAGGUAUGCAUGCCUCCACUGACAUUACACUCAUCUAAUGACCAGAAUAAGGAAGGAUUAGAGGAAACAAUGCAGGACACUCUGAAGCAGAGAGAACUGAUCACCCAGGAAAGUGACUUGGGAGAAACAGUGUAGAAGAAUUGUGACAUCUUUGAGAUCAGGUAGGAACAUAGGCUGGCAGAAGCCAGUUGGGUUUCCUGUCCUAUAUAACUAUCCUUUGUGGGUGACUGACCACCUACAUGGUUUCAGCCUCAGUCAGCUAAAGAACUACUCAGAGUAUUAUUCUGGUACAGUUUAUAUGGAUUUUGUCCAUGAUGCAAUAUAUGUGAUCUUCAAGAUUUCUUGGUAUUUUCUACUUCUUCUUUCUCUUACCUCUGUGGUAAACUCUGAGAACAUUUUCUUUUCUGUUCUCUCACAAAUUGCCUUACAAUGACUAUACACAUACAGGGGUUCUGUUCUGUUUGUACACCACCAUCACCUUUAAUGCUCAGUGUGUACACUGGGAAGAUUUACACGGAGCCCAUUCUCAGUGAUUACAGGAUGUAUGCAGUGCCCAUGGUUUUGAUGUGAGAUGGUUUCUCUGUGUAUUUACAGAUACAGUGGUUACAAAUGGAACCUAGGCAGGUUCCUUCCUGCAAAAAUAAUCUGAACCUUCACUUCAAUUCUGAGCAGGUUCUCCAUAAGACAUCCACAUGGUAUUCUAGGUUGCUCAUAUCUCUCUUGAACUCAGAUUCAGACAUAGCCACAAUGUUGUUAUUCAAUAUAAUAUACCUGGACCAGUGACAAAAUAUGCUCAUUUUUCUUUUGAUUCCAGUACUGUGCAUAGUCCACAGUUCGAUUUCUAGCUGUUUUUAAAAGCUGAUAUAUAAAUCGAAGCCCAUUUACUCUAUGACACUUGGGGAUGCAGGAAAUGACCUCAGUUGACAGGUCUAAAAUUCUCCAGCGAAACUCGAACAUGGCAUAGACCAGAACAAGAUCUCCCUUGGAGAGCAGUGCCACAGGAGGAGUCUAAGUGUGCACAACAAAUACACCACUAUUACAUCGCAUCCUUAAUAUCCAUAGCAGUUGUGGGCUGCAUUUUCCUACUUUAGUUUGAUUUCUUUGGAUUGAAUAGGCCAUACUUUCAUCUCGGCUCUCCCGAGCAAGCGUGCACAUUUGAAGAAGCGUGCACAGAGAAGAGCUGAUGCACAUCAAUCGAGAACUGCUGAGCAUCCAGGAAGAGUGUGCACAUGUACAUUUGUACUUGUCCUGAAGGGUCACCCAGAAGAGUUUCAUGGAGAUCAGUCCACAACAUUGGAAAAACUUUGAGUCAAAGACUGUCAUAUGUUUUAUACUCAGUAUUGGAUGGCUUUGUCCUUCAUACCCUCACUCCAACAAGGCAGACCUACUUACAUUCCCCUUGAAAAGAUUAUUACCAUCAGUAACUGCUUGUCUACUGUGUUUCCAAGGCAAGUCAUUGGCUAUAAGUCAAUUCUGC